rnacentral:sRNA from 1 species
AAAAAUGGAUAAAACCCCCCAAAAAAAAC